ACAACUUUCAACAACGGAUCUCUUGGCUCUCGCAUCGAUGAAGAACGCAGCGAAAUGCGAUAAGUAAUGUGAAUUGCAGAAUUCAGUGAAUCAUCGGAUCUUUGAACGCAUCUUGCGCUCCUGGGUAUUCCGAGGAGCAUGCCUGUUUGAGUGUCAUUAA
rnacentral:rRNA from 1 species